rnacentral:lncRNA from 1 species
UCCAUUGCUCAGAAAUUCUCAUCAGUGCUGAUAGCUUGCUGCAUCAGCGUCAACUUCCAAGAAACCUGAGCUUUGCUGUUGGGUGUACAUAACCCCUCCCGUGGUCCCAGCUGCAGGAGGAUCUGUUGGACACAGCCUUCCCCCAGUAUUUCUGCCCCACAGCAGAGACCUCGCUGACUUACAGAGAGUGCCUGACCUCUCCGGCGCUGGGCUGGCGCGGGCUGACGGAAGGACCGUGGGGCUGGC